CUUUGAAUACAUUUCAGACAAUCAUGACUGGGUCCAUUGUCGCUGUUCCAAUCCUUGGUUAGUCAUUCUACGAAAAUAUUUUUCAAAGUAUCUUCAUUUACCACCAUUGAGGUAUUUUCUCACGUUUUUAAACAUAUUUUCAACGCAGGUGUGUGAAACAAGCACAAGAUCAUUGUCACUGUUCUAAAUCUCAGCUAGUCUCUCCAUUACAAUGCUUCCAAGACCACCGCUUCAUCAUUUCAAACAAUCGUCUCCUGACAUCAUGCUAUUUUGUCAUACUUUAGUCAUCCGACAUUUAGAUUUACGAAAUUGCACUAUCCGUAGGAUUUCAACGAACGGGUCACGAAAAUUUACGAGGUCUGUAUACACCUUGGCUCCUUUAUCCACAAAUAUUUGCGCCACUGGAUCGGACCAUCGAUUUUCCCACACCCUGUACAUCUAACGACUUCGCAUGCGGGCAUUUGGAGAAGUGGUCGAUCGACGCGCUGGCAAAACUAGGUAGCCUUGAGGAUCUCUGUGUUUUCUGCCAGCGAAUUCUAUCCGGGCAUCUGCAUGCCAGCAACGUUCCCCGGCGUUCGUCCCGCGCCGCUUUUAUUUAACAGAGAACCACCGACGUGUGUCAUCGAUUUGCAUAGUCACCGCCGCGAUACACAGUCCUGGUUUGUGUUGAUGUAACCUUGUUUCCAGUCCCGUGGCAGGCCUCGAAGCGCGAGCUCGAUCACGAUCAGGUGCACGGACGUGUUCGAUUAUUCACCAGCGACUUUUCGACCGCGUCUGUCGUUAUCUGGGAAUCGCUCGCGACAUUAGCCUAGCGAUUCCACUCGCGACCUGGCGUCCAAAAUUGAGGGCACAAAAUUUAAAAUUACCGACACUAUCGUUUAGGGCGAACGUGGUUUGUUUGUCCACACGAAGAAAAUCCAGUUUUUAACGUUCAAUGUUCUCCAAAAGAUUCUAAAAUAGCAGUAAAUUUCAGAAACUCCAAACUGAGCAAACAUCUAAGAAGAUUCCAUAAAAACAAUUCCUGUUAAGCUCGCACGGUAAAUUGUACACAUAAAGACGUCUAAUACCCUAUCUGUUUCAGCCACUUGCUAUUCAACUGCGAUAUUAAUUAAUUCAUGAAUACGUAAAUAACGACCUGGAGCCUAACGAACGGAUCAUCUCGUAAACAUCUUACGAGUCGUCAGUGGUCCAAAAUGUAUAAUAGAAGCUUCGUUACAACAAGAAUUUCUGAAGCAACGACGUGUUUUGCUGGCGUUUUACGAUUUUAAGGCUGUAAUUAAAGUAAUCGUAAAAGAUUUAUAGCAUAUUUGGUUAUAACGAAGCUAUAUCGGAGAGCAAUAAUGUCACGAGUGCGCAUGGAAUUAAAGGGUCGUUUUGAAAGAAUGAAAUGCGCGUACCAUAUUGGUUAAAUUACACAAGCCAGCUAAUAGGUGUACCGACACUUCGCACAACGGCUGCUUUUAAUUAUCGUACCUAUAAAGACGCGUUUGCAAAACACCAUUCCCCGUUUUACGAGCAUGUAAAUCGGUGAUCUAUGCUAUGCGGAAAGUUUAACUGCGACAGAUACCCAACGAAAGGAAGCAACGAGUCCGUAAUGCCUGGUUUACACGCGCGAAACGACCGUGCCCGACUGCGAAAAAACGUAUGUCGCGAGUAAGUAGUAGUUCUCGUUUCGCGUAACAAUGAGGCAAACACUGGCGUGGAAAAUAUUCUUUCGCGCAAUUGCAUAAUUGCGCCGACUUUCGUUCGACGGCUCCGACUGGUCGUAGACCGUUUCGCUGCAGACGUCAGCCCACGUAUUAUCAAUUAUCGCCUCAAAAUAUGCUGAACUGCCGGCACAGCGGUAUUGUAAUACAUACAUCGUUUGUUUAUGCUGAUAGAGUGCCGACGAUAAGCGUAAUGUGUUGCGGCGUUUGCAGUCUGCAUAAUCGGUCUAAUGCGCAACAUCCUGGUACAGCUAGGGAAUAAAAUAACAUUGGAUCGAGAGCUGGAUCUAAAGAGUAUCUGAUGUUAUGUAAAAAGAUCGUUGUAGUUGUAUUAUAUUUCAUUAAUAGCAGAAAUUCGCUAAAUUUACAUUCUGCUUGAAUAUUGGAAAUUUAGAGGUCUAAAGUAUCAGUGAUGGGAUCGAUGUGUGAAAGUGUGGAAUGUUUCAAAAUUACUGAAUUUAUUAGCACUGCUAUAUCUUUGAAAUUAUCUUGUCUGUUUCUAUAAUUGUCACCAGAAAUAAUAGCGAUUAUCUAAAGAAUUCCAAUGAUGCUUCCCUCUACAGUCCACGCAUUUUUCCUACACCUGCUUUUUUAUUCAUUCGCACACUAAUCCGUUGUAUUUUAUUGUGCUUUGCUGCGGAUUGAUAUAACGUGCGUGAAAGGGUGUCAAUAAAAAAUCGAUGGGAAUCGUACCACCGGUGAACCAGUCUGACACCCGAUAUUCUGGUCUAAAGUAAACAACGGAAGGGAGCAUCGAGCACACAUAUCGCGAAAUUCGAUGCUGCAUCCUUGAAGGGCUGGAUAAAUUCGGAAAAAGCAAAGAAGGGAUGAUUCCGCCAUAUGGGACUCGCAGCCGUUUAAUUCGACCGUUUAAGAUGGAAUCGAAACCCGAACCUACAGAACUGAAUCCUUUCCAGAACACCAAAUUCUUUGGUACGCACCUUUAUUUCAGAAGAAUGGACAAGUUUAAAAAUGUUGAAAAUAGCACAAGAUACCUAGGACGCAGCUGUGUAAUUUUAAAUUUAUAAUUUUCCACGCACACCUCACGUAAAUAAUCAUUAUAUACGUACACAUAUCGAUUUCAAGAACUAAACUAAUUAGAAAAUUCGGAUUAGAGUAGACUUCGCCCUGCUUUUUCAUCUUAACGAUUGCAACGUUAAAAAUAAUA